ensembl:lncRNA
UAUUUCUUUAUUAUAUAUAUUUAUUUAAGUUGACGUUGGACUUAGUUGGUCUGCAAUAAGGUGAUCCCAUCUGUCACCGAACCAGGUCUAGACCAAUUUCAAAACAGAUACAUACCAGGUCUAAAUCAUCUUCAAACCAGGUCCAAACAAGGUUUAAAUAAUUUCUAAGGAACAACAUAUCUGAUAAAUUUCAAAGCAGACGGAUCAGAUUCUACUGAAGUAUAAAGAACGACAAACACACACACACACACAUAAACACAUAAACACAUGUACAGUCAGCCAGUGCUGCAGACACAGACUGGCAUUAACAACAUAUGGUAGUGUGUAUAAAAAGCAUAUUAAGUGCCAGAAACAAGAUUAGACCCAUAAACAACCACAUUCCCAAUGUUUAGCAGUUACGAAACCAGAAGAAAAUAUUUCUAAAAACAAUAGGUUGUCUCGCAAUAAAACAUUCCAUGAUGCAAUCCAGGCAGCAAAAACCCCGCCCACCCAGGCUUCCUGGAAUGCUGUCUGAGUAUAUUAACUGAGGACUGGUGAGGAAGAGGUUGAUGCAAGGGUUGGAUGGAGUAUAAAGGGGUUUUAGGGGGUUUGAGGAGGAGGGAGUGUAGGAGGAGUGGAGGCUUACUGGAAGCCUGCUGGAAACCAUUAACCGAGGGCUGUGUGAGGAAGUUGGAUGAAGAGGAAUAUAAGGAGCAGGGGAGAGUGAGGGAGUGUAGAUGGGCCAGGCAGAUUGGAGGGUAAGGGGUUCUGGUCCAGAGUGACUAAAGGGGUUAAAGGGUUCAGGAUGGAGGGUAAAGGGGUUGGAGAAGGAUGAGGGGUUGGAAGAGGAGAGAGAGAUUGGGUGAAGGCUUAGUGGAUGGCUGCUGGAAAACAAUAACUGAGGGGUGUGUGAAGAAGGUGGAUGAGGAGGAUGAGGAGGAAGAGGAGUAGCCAGGGAGUGUGACACAGUGUGGGGGGGAGGAGGAGGAGGUUUCUUGGCCCCAGGAGGUAGUGGUGAAGGAUCUGAUGCCAACCUUUCAGUCCAAGCCAAGUUACGUGUAGGCUGCCAUGUUAUCAGUUCAUGUUAACAGCAUCAGGGUCACGUAACGGGUCUGUCACAGGUAGAAAGGGACCGGGCCUGAAGAAUGAGAAGAUGCACCACUGCACCACGACACUGUUGGCAUCAGUCUGCAAGAUGCUUUAGAUAUAAAUGUGUUAGGUUUCUUUAAAGGGCAUGAAAUACAAAAAAAUCGGACAUGUUUUAAAUAUUAAGGUUUAGGGUAAGGGAAUCUGGUUCAGGCUGAUGGUGGGUUAGGGGUUCUGGUCCAGGCUGACCGGAGGGUUAGGGGUUCUGGUGGUCCAGGCUGACCGGAGGGUUAGGGGUUCUGGUGGUCCAGGCUGACUGGAGGGUUAAGGGUUCUGGUCCAGGCUGACUGGAGGGUUAAGGGUUCUGGUCCAGGCUGACUGGAGGGUUAGGGGUUCUGGUCCAGGCUGACUGGAGGGUUAAGGGUUCUGGUCUAGGCUGAUGGAGGGUUAGGGGUUCUGGUCUAGGCUGAUGGAGGGUUAGGGGUUCUGGUGGUCUAGGCUGACUGGAGGGUUAAGGGUUCUGGUCCAGGCUGACUGGAGGGUUAGGGGUUCUGGUCUAGGCUGAUGGAGGGUUAGGGGUUCUGAUCCAGGCUGACUGGAGGGUUAGGGGUUCUGGUCCAUGCUGACCGGAACUUUAGGGGUUCUGGUCCAGGCUGAUCGGAACGUUAGGGGUUCUGGUCUAGGCUGACCCGGGCCGUGCUGUAGAAGGUGAUCCUUCCGCUACAGGCGACCUGGAGGUUCACCGUGGUGGCAUAGUUGGUCCUAGGAAGCCCCGGGUGGGCUGUGAUCUGUGUUUGAACCAGAGUGUGGGGAUCUGCUUGCUGGGUGGUGGGGUUGUGGUUGGUGUGGUCGGUGGAGGGCGUGGUGGUGGGAGUUUGGGCCAGGGAAGGGCGGGCUACAUAGGCACAGAACAGCUGACUGCGACAGCUUCCCUUCUCCAGCUCUCCCUGCUCUUGGGGAGAGGAGAAGGAGGGGGAAGGAGGGUGAGCAUAGGAGAGAGGAGCAGAAGAAGAGGAGAAGGGGGCUGUUGUGACCUCAGUCUCUGGACUCUGGUCGAGGAGCUCCUGAUCGUCUCGCUGGGGAUGCCUCCCAGCCUGGGUGGCCCUGUCUGGGCUGAGCCUGCUGGGCGAGACCGGAGGCUGGAGGUAGGAGGAGCAGGCCUUGAUAGGGCUCCUGAGGUUCAGGGAACUUGGGGCAGGAGUAGAGGAGGAGGUGUCCGGUGUAUAGGAGGUCGGGUAGGGUGCAGAGCAUGGGUUCCGUGGCCGGGGUGCAGCGAUGUGAUCGGUCCAGGCGUUUGACGGAACACCAAUCGGAGGCGGGGACAGAAUGCGGGGGCAGCAGGAGCCGGAGCCAGUAACAGACUUCAUCAAGAUGGCCUGCUCCAGGCUGAGGCCCGUGGGCGGGGUAAGAACCAGGGGAGUGGAAGAGUCCUGGGGAGGAAUGGGAGUGAAGGAGUCAUGGUGAGGAGCUGGAGAGCAGAGAAAGGCGGAAGGGGAUUGGACCCGCGAGCCUGGCUCGGAGGCAGAGAAGGGCCGUGCAACCCGGUUGUGAUGGCCGGACCAGAGAGCAUCAUGGGAAGGCUGUGUUGCAGCGACGCUGGCGGGAGAACAAGAGACAUUCCUCUGGCUUGCUAGCCAUCCACCGCUUCCACUAGCACCGCUGGCACUUCUGUGGCUGACCCCUACAUCUGCCAUGCUAUCCCUGCAAUGCCUGUGGUUGUUGCUGUGGUUGCUGUUUAUAUGAACGCAGGAAUCUGAUAGGCCGACAGAUCUGGAGUGGAGGAGGGAGUUGGAGGAGGGGAGGCUGGGGAGGGGGAGUGAGGGCCAUGGCCCAGGGAGGAGGGGGUGGUCGCUGAGGAGGUGGGGGCGCUGUGGAACCAGGGGAGAUGAUAGGGGGUUGUUACAAUGGAUAAAUGGGGGCGGGGCAUUCUUCUUGGCGAUGCUUUGACUGAUGAAGGAGGCGGCCAAUGAUCUGGAGAAGGCUGAGAACGGGGCUCCGCCCCGUCUGUCCAAACCCCUCCCACUAGAGGGCUGAGGGGGGGAGAAAGGAGGGAUGGCCCUGCAGGGGGAGGGGGGGCGGUGGGUGAGGUUAGGCCUGGAGAGGGAGGGUGGGGGAGACAGCAACGAUGACAUCU